rnacentral:rRNA from 1 species
CAUGCGUGACAUUAGCUGGUUGGUGAGGUAACGGCUCACCAAGGCUACGAUGUCUAGGGGUUCUGAGAGGAUUAUCCCCCACACUGGUACUGAGACACGGACCAGACUCCUACGGGAGGCAGCAGUAAGGAAUAUUGGGCAAUGGACGCAAGUCUGACCCAGCCAUGCCGCGUGAAGGAUGACAGCCCUACGGGUUGUAAACUUCUUUUGUACGGGAAAAAACCCCUGAUCGUGUAUCAGGGCUGAUGGUACCGUAAGAAUAAGCAUCGGCUAACUCCGUGCCAGCAGCCGCGGUAAUACGGAGGAUGCAAGCGUUAUCCGGAUUCAUUGGGUUUAAAGGGUGCGUAGGCGGGAUGAUAAGUCAGUGGUGAAAUCCUACAGCUUAACUGUAGAACUGCCAUUGAUACUGUCAACCUUGAGUACGUUUGAAGUGGGCGGAAUGUGUCAUGUAGCGGUGAAAUGCUUAGAUAUGACACAGAACACCGAUAGCGAAGGCAGCUCACUAAACUGUAACUGACGCUGAGGCACGAAAGCGUGGGGAUC